rnacentral:rRNA from 1 species
ACACCAGACUCCUACGGGAGGCAGCAGUGGGGAAUAUUGGGCAAUGGGCGCAAGCCUGACCCAGCAACGCCGCGUGAAGGAAGAAGGCCCUCGGGUUGUAAUCUUCUUUUAUCAGGGACGAAACAAAUGACGGUACCUGAUGGAUAAGCCACGGCUAACUACGUGCCAGCAGCCGCGGUAAUACGUAGGUGGCAAGCGUUGUCCGGAUUUACUGGGUGUAAAGGGCGUGCAGCCGGAGAGACAAGUCAGAUGUGAAAUCCACGGGCUCAACCCGUGAACUGCAUUUGAAACUGUUGAUCUUGAGUACUGGAGAGGCAGACGGAAUUCCUAGUGUAGCGGUGAAAUGCGUAGAUAUUAGGAGGAACACCAGUGGCGAAGGCGGUCUGCUGGACAGCAACUGACGGUGAGGCGCGAAAGCGUGGGGAGCAAACAGGAUUAGAUACCCCCGUA